rnacentral:rRNA from 1 species
AUUGAACGCUGGCGGCAGGCCUAACACAUGCAAGUCGAGCGGAUGAAGGGAGCUUGCUCCUGGAUUCAGCGGCGGACGGGUGAGUAAUGCCUAGGAAUCUGCCUGGUAGUGGGGGAUAACGUCCGGAAACGGGCGCUAAUACCGCAUACGUCCUGAGGGAGAAAGUGGGGGAUCUUCGGACCUCACGCUAUCAGAUGAGCCUAGGUCGGAUUAGCUAGUUGGUGGGGUAAAGGCCUACCAAGGCGACGAUCCGUAACUGGUCUGAGAGGAUGAUCAGUCACACUGGAACUGAGACACGGUCCAGACUCCUACGGGAGGCAGCAGUGGGGAAUAUUGGACAAUGGGUGAAAGCCUGAUCCAGCCAUGCCGCGUGUGUGAAGAAGGUCUUCGGAUUGUAAAGCACUUUAAGUUGGGAGGAAGGGCAGUAAGUUAAUACGUUGCUGUUUUGACGUUACCAACAGAAUAAGCACCGGCUAACUUCGUG